rfam:Paraburkholderia tropica strain P-31 P31_contig_14, whole genome shotgun sequence.
GCUGCUUUCCGAAGCAGACUUUUUCGUUGACGAAAAAGAUCUCCAAACCUUUGUCGGCGCGGCCAUUGGCUGCGCUUUUUUUUU